ensembl:snRNA U6 U6 spliceosomal RNA
GUUCUCAGUGCUGGCUUAGGUAGAACAUUAACUGUAAUGGGAGGAUACAGAGAUGAGCAUUGCACAAGGAUGACAUGCAAAUUCAUGAAGAGGGUCAUAUUUUU